rnacentral:rRNA from 1 species
UACGGGGGGGGCAAGCGUUGUUCGGAAUUACUGGGCGUAAAGGGCUCGUAGGCGGCCAACUAAGUCGGAUGUGAAAUCCCCAGGCUUAACCUGGGAACUGCAUCCGAUACUGGAUGGCUUGAAUUCGGGAGAGGGAUGCGGAAUUCCAGGUGUAGCGGUGAAAUGCGUAGAUAUCGGGAGGAACACCAGUGGCGAAGGCGGCUCACUGGCCCGGUACUGACGCUGAGGUGCGAAAGCGUGGGGAGCAAACAGG